rnacentral:rRNA from 1 species
AUACGUAGGAUGCGAGCGUUAUCCGGAUUUAUUGGGUUUAAAGGGUGCGCAGGCGGGAUCUUAAGUCAGCGGUGAAAGUUUGCAGCUUAACUGUAAAAAUGCCGUUGAAACUGUCGGACUUGAGUGUAAAUGAGGUAGGCGGAAUGCGUGGUGUAGCGGUGAAAUGCUUAGAUAUCACAAAGAACUCCGAUUGCGCAGGCAGCUUACUAAACUACAACUGACGCUCAGGCACGAAGGCGUGGGUAUC